GUUUGUUGAAAACAUGGGAUCGUUUAUAUAAAUCAAAUCCGUUCGUGUUGAGUAAGUAAAUUCCACCAUUUUCCUAUUUUCACUAAAAAUUCACGAAAUAAACCAAUCACUGUUCGUUGUUCAAUUGAUUUCAAUCCUUCAAAUGAACUAUUCUAUCCUAAAUCAUAUAUAUCUAUAUACCUAUAUAUAAUGAAAGAAUAAACACUUUCACCUACAUGUAGAUACAUAGGUAUAUGUUUAUUUAAAUUCUAAUAAACAUAGAAUUGGAUAUUAAUUUUCUUUUUCUUACUUUGAAACUGAUGUGCAUUUAUUCAAAUAUCGAAAUUAGGUCGAGGUCAUUAUUUUAGUAGAAGUGAUAAAGAUGAAGAAUAAGAAGAAAAAUUCUCUGUAUUUGUUUCUGCAGAGGUGGCUGUGUUUGAAGCUACACAAUAUUCUCCGGAGAGGAAUUUCAAUAUAAAGAGGAGGUAGUCAAAAAUUCGUUUAGCUUUUGAGAGAUAAGGCCAGUUCCAUCCCUCAAAAAAUAAAAAUUGUUUCCAUAAUUAAUGUUUAGUAUUAACCGAUUUUUAUAAUAUCUACCGAUUUGCUAAUUGCGGAUGUUAAGCUAAACGGGAUAUAUGUUUGGCAACAUUGCAAAAUUUCGACGGUAAUGAUAGAGAAAUCAAGAAUUUCAGUUUUCUAGUAAAAUGUUCUGUGCUUUUGUGGUGCCACAGUCAAAAUAAUAAUAAUAAUAAUAAUAAAUAUAUAAAAUAAAAUUAUUAUUAUAAACAAUCAUUGAUCGAUAAUUCAUGAUCUGAAUAUUCUAAAUCCAUAUUUCAAUUUAGAAUUUUCUAAAAAACUAAACACAAACACACAAUGUGACAUAAUCAGGUUAUGUCCAUAGAGAAAAAAUAAUGUUUAUGGUUGUCUUGAGUCGCAUACAUUUUGACGUUUUGAGUUGCGCAGAUCCCUGUUUAAAACUAAUCACGAGAUUGGUUAGAUUUUCUUUAGGGUGGGGGUAACGGUUCGUGGGAGAGGGGGUGGUCCUGGAGCCCCCAGAUUCUGGACACUGCAGAGAGGUAUUCAAAAGCUUACCUGAAGUUAUUUGAUCAGUUGAACAUAAAAGAGGUAAUUGUGUGGUUGUACUGAUUGUACAGUUUACAAGCCAAUAAUAAAAUUUGAAAAUGUUGGAGUUAGCUGUGUUAGCUGGUAUAUCCGGAGGAUUAUUGAUCUACGAUUUUUUAAUGAAAGAAUUCUUCUUUUCUGAUGAAGGCGAAAAUGUUAGAUCAGAAGAAAAAUCAGAACGGAAGACAGUAUUGAAAAUUGAAUACCGAGAUGGUGACAAAAUCAGGAUUGAAAAUAAUUGUGGAAUAUGUAUGGAUAAUUUGAGUGGCAUAGUACUGACAACGGAUUGUAAGCAUGAGUUUCAUUUUAAAUGCUUCUCUGAUUGGUUUAAUCAGAAAAACACAUGUCCUUUCUGCAGAAGUGUUGUCACUAUGACGUAAUUUAUGAUAAAUUUUAUUUUCUGAAAUUAUUGAGGAAAUCUCAUCUUGUAAAUACCGUUUGUAAAUAUGUAAUCUAUAUUUUGUAUGGAAUUUUAGUUGAAGUAAAUAAUUUAAUAUA